GACAACAAAUGACAUCCAGUAUGGAUGUCAUUUGUUGCCAAAAUAAAAACAGACAAGUAAUACUGUUAAAGUAUAGAACACUAUAUAACUGACACAUUCCCCCUUAACCUGACGGGGAAUCUUGAUUGUAGUGAGGAGAACAUUGCCAACAUAUUGGCAACACGUGAAUGAAGUAAUAUAAUAACACAGAUGUCAAGGCUGAGCCAACCAAUCCAACCAAGCCAACCAUCUCUGACAUAUAUAAGGCUAAAGCUCUCCAACUGUUUGAUAAACAAAACACGAGUACAGAAGGGUUGGCCACACAGUCAUAAGGAUGACACAUUACACGUCAAACUGAACAUUUCA